CGCACAAGCGGUGGAGCAUGUUGUUUAAUUCGAAGCAACGCGAAGAACCUUACCAGGUCUUGACAUCCUUCUGACCGGCCUAGAGAUAGGCUUUCUCUUCGGAGCAGAAGUGACAGGUGGUGCAUGGUUGUCGUCAGCUCGUGUCGUGAGAUGUUGGGUUAAGUCCCGCAACGAGCGCAACCCCUAUUGUUAGUUGCCAUCAUUAAGUUGGGCACUCUAGCUAGACUGCCGGUAAUAAACCGGAGGAAGGUGGGGAUGACGUCAAAUCAUCAUGCCCCUUAUGACCUGGGCUACACACGUGCUACAAUGGUUGGUACAACGAGUCGCAAGCCGGUGACGGCAAGCUAAUCUCUUAAAGCCAAUCUCAGUUCGGAUUGUAGGCUGCAACUAGCCUACAUGAAGUCGGAAUCGCUAGUAAUCGCGGAUCAGCACGCCGCGGUGAAUACGUUCCCGGGCCUUGUACACACCGCCCGUCACACCACGAGAGUUUGUAACACCCGAAGUCGGUGAGGUAACCUUUUAGGAGCCAGCCGCCUAAGGUGGGAUAGAUGAUUGGGGUGAAGUAGUAACAAGGUAGCCGUAUCGGAAGGUGCGGCUGGAUCACCUCCUUUCUAAGGA
rnacentral:rRNA from 1 species